GCAUGGCUGUCGUCAGCUCGUGUUGUGAAAUGUUGGGUUAAGUCCCGCAACGAGCGCAACCCUUAUCCUUUGUUGCCAGCGGUCCGGCCGGGAACUCAAAGGAGACUGCCAGUGAUAAACUGGAGGAAGGUGGGGAUGACGUCAAGUCAUCAUGGCCCUUACGACCAGGGCUACACACGUGCUACAAUGGCGCAUACAAAGAGAAGCGACCUCGCGAGAGCAAGCGGACCUCAUAAAGUGCGUCGUAGUCCGGAUUGGAGUCUGCAACUCGACUCCAUGAAGUCGGAAUCGCUAGUAAUCGUGGAUCAGAAUGCCACGGUGAAUACGUUCCCGGGCCUUGUACACACCGCCCGUCACACCAUGGGAGUGGGUUGCAAAAGAAGUAGGUAGCUUAACCUUCGGGAGGGCGCUUACCAGUUUUGUUUCAGGGUGGGU
rnacentral:rRNA from 1 species